AUUGAACGCUGGUGGCAGGCCUAACACAUGCAAGUCGAACGAGUGGCGGACGGGUGAGUUAUGUAUCGGCCACUGCCUGGUGGAGGGGGAUAACUACUGGCAACUGUAGCUACUACCGCAUACCUUCAGCUGUGCCCAGAUGGGAUUAGCUUGUUGGUGGGGUAAAGGCUCACCAGGGCGACGAUCCCUACCUGGUCUGAGAGGAUGAACAGCCACACGGGAACGGAGACACGGUCCAGACUCCUACGGGAGGCAGCAGUGGGGAAUAUUGGACAAUGGGCGCAAGCCUGAUGCAGCCAUGCCGCGUGUAUGAAGAAGGUCUUCGGGUUGUAAAGCACUUUAAGUUGGGAGGCGUUACCAGCAGAAGAAGCACCGGCUAACUCCGUGCCAGCCGCCGCGGUAAUAC
rnacentral:rRNA from 1 species